ACGGAACCUGGGCGCAGCCUGAUGCAGCGACGCCGCGUGAGGGAUGACGGCCUUCGGGUUGUAAACCUCUUUCAGUAGGGAAGAAGCGAGAGUGACGGUACCUGCAGAAGAAGCGCCGGCUAACUACGUGCCAGCAGCCGCGGUAAUUGCUCCGCGGUAUACCUA
rnacentral:rRNA from 1 species